rnacentral:rRNA from 1 species
UACAGAGGUCUCAAGCGUUGUUCGGAUUCAUUGGGCGUAAAGGGUGCGUAGGCGGCGCGGUAAGUCGGGUGUGAAAUCUCGGAGCUUAACUCCGAAACUGCAUUCGAUACUGCCGUGCUUGAGGACUGGAGAGGAGACUGGAAUUUACGGUGUAGCGGUGGAAUGCGCAGAUAUCAGGAAGAACACCGACGGCGAAGGCAGCUCGCUGGGACAGUACUGACGCUGAGGCGCGAAAGCGUGGGGAGCGAACAGG